rnacentral:rRNA from 1 species
AUUGAACGCUGGCGGCAGGCCUAACACAUGCAAGUCGAACGGUAGCACAGAGAGCUUGCUCUCGGGUGACGAGUGGCGGACGGGUGAGUAAUGUCUGGGAAACUGCCCGAUGGAGGGGGAUAACUACUGGAAACGGUAGCUAAUACCGCAUAACGUCGCAAGACCAAAGUGGGGGACCUUCGGGCCUCACACCAUCGGAUGUGCCCAGAUGGGAUUAGCUAGUAGGUGGGGUAAUGGCUCACCUAGGCGACGAUCCCUAGCUGGUCUGAUAGGAUGACCAGCCAGACUGGAACUGAGACACGGUCAAGGCUCCUACGGGAGGCAGAAGUGGGGAAUAUUGCACAAUGGGCGCAAGCCUGAUUCAGCCAUGCCGCGUGUAUGAAGAAGGCCUUCGGGUUGUAAAGUACUUUCAGCGGGGAGGAAGGCGGUGAAGUUAAUAACUUCACCGAUUGACGUUACCCGCAGAAGAAGCACCGGCUAACUCCGUGCCAGCAGCCGCCGUAA